rnacentral:rRNA from 1 species
GACAGAGGAUGCAAGCGUUAUCCGGAAUGAUUGGGGUGUAAAGCGUCUGUAGGUGGGCUUUUCAAGUCCGCCGUCAAAUCCCAGGGCUCAACCCUGGACAGGCGGGUGGAAACUACCAAGCUGGAGUACGGUAGGGGCAGAGGGAAUUUCCGGUGGAGCGGGUGAAAGUGCAUUGAGAUCGGAAAGAACACCAACGGGCGGAAAGCACUACUGCGGGCCGACACUUGGACAACUGAGAGACCGA